rnacentral:rRNA from 1 species
UAUUGGUGAGAAUCCAAUGCCCCGAAAACCUAAGGGUUCCUCCGGAAGGCUCGUCCGCGGAGGGUGAGUCAGGGCCUAAGGUGAGGCCGAAAGGCGUAGCUAAUGGACAACGGGUUAAUAUUCCUGUACCAUCUAUUGUUGAUAUCGAGGGACGGAGAAGGCUACAUCAGCCGGAUGUUGGUUACCGGUUUAAGCGCCUAAGACGUUGACAAGUGGAGAAAACACUUUGAGUUAAAGCGUGAAUACGAAAUGCUACGGCAUUGAAGUGAUCUAUGCCAUGCUUCCAAGAAAAUCUCGUCAUAUCUUAAACAAUAGAUGCCUGUACCUUAAACCGACACAGGUAGGUAGGUAGAGUAUACCAAGGGGCGCGAGAUAACUCUCUCUACGGAACUCGGCAAAAUAACCUCGUAACUUCGGAAGAAGAGGUACCCUUGAAAAAGGGUUGCAAUAACCAGACCCUGGCGACUGUUUACCAAAAACACAGGUCUCCGCUAAUUCGUAAGAUCAAGUAUGGAGGCUGACGCCUGCCCAGUGCCGGAAGGUUAAAGAAGUUGGUCAAUCUUUGGAUGAAGCUGGCGACUGAAGCCCCGGUGAACGGCGGCCGUAACAAUAACGGUCCUAAGGUAGCGAAGUUCCUUGUCGGGUAAGUUCCGACCCGCACGAAAGGCGUAACGAUCAGGGUGCUGUCUCGGAGAGAGACUCGGCGAAAUAAACAUGUCUGUGAAGAUGCGGACUACCUGCACCUGGACAGAAAGACCCUUUGAAGCUUUACUGUAUCUUGGAAUUGGGUUUGGGCCUUGCUUGCGCAGGAUAGGUGGGAGGCUAUGAAAAUAUUCUUGCGGGAAUGUUGGAGCCAACGGUGAGAUACCACUCUAGUAAGGCUAAGAUUCUAACUCUGAACCGUUAUCCGGUCAGAGAACAGUUUCAGGUGGGCAGUUUGACUGGGGCGGUCGCCACCUAAAAGGUAACGGAGGCGCGCAAAGGUUCCCUCAGGCUGGUUGGACAUCAGUCGUAGAGUGUAAAGGCAUAAGGGAGCUUGACUGCGAGACCCACAAGUCGAGCAGAGACGAAAGUCGGCCUUAGUGAUCCGACGGUUCCACGUGGAAGGGCCGUCGCUCAACGGAUAAAAGUUACUCUAAGGAUAACAGGCUGAUCUCCCCCAAGAGUUCUCAUCGACGGGGAGGUUUGGCACCUCGAUGUCGGCUCAUCGCAUCCUGGGGCGGUAGUACGUCCCAAGGGUUGGGCUGUUCGCCCAUGAAAGCGGUACGCGAGCUGGGUUCAGAACGUCGUGGGACAGUUCGGUCCAUAUCCGGUGCAGGCGUUAGAGCAUUGAAAGGAGUCCCCCUUAGUACGAGAGGACCGGGGGGAAUACACCGCUGGUGUACCAGUUAUCGUGCCAACGGUAAACGCUGGGUAGCCAUGUGUAGCGUGGAUAACUGCUGAAAGCAUCUAAGUAGGAAGCCCACCUAAGAUGAGUGCUCUCACCGCUAUAAGCGGGUAAGGUCACGGUAAGAACAACCGUUAUAUAGGCAUUAAGUAUACGUGCAGUAAUGCAUUUAGCUAAGAAGUACUAACAGACCGAGGGCUUGAUU